rnacentral:rRNA from 1 species
UCAACGCUGGCGGCGUGCUUCAGACAUGCAAGUCGAACGAUUAAAGCUCUCUUCGGAGAGUGCAUAAAGUGGCGCACGGGUGAGUAACACGUAAGUAAUCUACCUUUGAGUGGGGAAUAACGUCCGGAAACGGACGCUAAUACCGCAUAAUGCAGCGGCACCGCAAGGUGACAGUUGUUAAAGAUUUAUCGCUUGGAGAGGAGCUUGCGGCAGAUUAGCUAGUUGGUAAGGUAAUGGCUUACCGAGGCAACGAUCUGUAGCCGGUCUAAGAGGACGGUCGGUCACACUGACACUGAAUAACGGGUCAGACUCCUACGGGAGGCAGCAGUCGGGAAUUUUGGGCAAUGGGCGAAAGCCUGACCCAGCAACGCCGCGUGAAGGAUGAAGUAUUUCGGUAUGUAAACUUCGAAAGAAUGGGAAGAAUAAAUGACGGUACCAUUUAUAAGCUCCGGCUAACUACGUGCCAGCAGCCGCGGUAAUACGUAGGGAGCAAGCGUUGUUCGGAUUUACUGGGCGUAAAGGGCGCGUAGGCGGCAUGACAAGUCACUUGUGAAAUCUUCGGGCUUAACCCGGAACGGCCAAGUGAUACUGUCGCGCUAGAGUGCGGAAGGGGCAAUCGGAAUUCUCGGUGUAGCGGUGAAAUGCGUAGAUAUCGAGAGGAACACCUGAGGUGAAGACGGGUUGCUGGGCCGACACUGACGCUGAGUGCGCGAAAGCCAGGGGAGCAAACGGGAUUAGAUACCCCGGUAGUCCUGGCCCUAAACGAUGAAUACUUGGUGUCUGGAGUUCAUAGUGCUCCGGGUGCCGUCGCUAACGUUUUUAGUAUUCCGCCUGGGGAGUACGCUCGCAAGAGUGAAACUCAAAU